CCCGCCUCCGGCCCCGCCUUCUAACACAUCCCAAGAUGGCGGGUGAGUGGGUCCGGGCUUCGGGGGCUCUGGCGGCUCCCCGAUCCCUGCCCGAGAGGCCCCUCAUCCCACUCCCGCGAGCCCUGGACUCACCGUUCGCGCAGCCCCGCAUAACUCCCUGUGUGUCUUUUGGUUUUUCUGAGAUUCCCCCUGUACUUUGUGGACUUGCAGGAUGACUUAGAUGACUGAAGAGCCCGGACAGCAAUAAGCAUUCAAGAGUGAAAUGACUUGGUGUGUGAAAUCAGCUUUCAAACUCCAUAACAAAUAGUAAACAAGACAUAGGGAGGAGGGGCCCGCCAGCACAAUGGCAGAACGCUGAGACUUGGAGGAGACGCUAAUAGCUGGGGACUAGCCUUUCAUUUUCUCAUACUUGAAAUUUCCCACAGUAAAAGGUUUUUAAAA